rnacentral:lncRNA from 1 species
CAUCAUCUUUUCGAGCUCUCACAGAUGCCCAUCUCCCCUCGCUCUCCUUGCUGUCAUCUCUCAUCGGUCUCCACCGUCACCUUCCUCCUAGUCAUCACCGACGUUAGCCUUCCCCCUCCAAUCUCCCUUAGGUGCUUUCCUUCCCAUGGAUCUCCGAAAAGGAGAGACACCGACCUCCUCCCUGCUCUCCUCACCGCCACCUCCUGUCAGUCUCUAACAUCGCCUUCCUCCCCAUCAUCAUC